rnacentral:rRNA from 1 species
UAGGGAAUAUUGGACAAUGGGCGAAAGCCUGAUCCAGCAAUACCGCGUGGAUGAUGAAGGCGUUAUGCGUUGUAAAAUCCUUUUGUCUGGGAAAAUAAUGAUUGUACCAGAAGAAUAAGCACCGACUAACUAUGUGCCAGCAGUCGCGGUAAUACAUAGGGUGCUAGCGUUGCUCGGAAUUAUUGGGCGUAAAGCAUGCGUAGGAGGACUUGAAAGUCAAAAGUGUAAUCCCUAAGCUCAACUUAGGAACUGCUUUUGAUACUCCAAGUCUAGAGUGAGAUAGAGGAUAGUAGAAUUCUUAGUGUAGGGGUGAAAUCCGUAGAUAUUAAGAGGAAUACCAAAAGCGAAGGCAGCUAUCUGGGUCUUUACUGACUCUGAGGCAUGAAAGCGUGGGGAGCAAACAGG